rnacentral:rRNA from 1 species
AACAGGAUUAGAUACCCUGGUAGUCCACGCCGUAAACGAUGUCGACUUGGAGGUUGUGCCCUUGAGGCGUGGCUUCCGGAGCUAACGCGUUAAGUCGACCGCCUGGGGAGUACGGCCGCAAGGUUAAAACUCAAAUGAAUUGACGGGGGCCCGCACAAGCGGUGGAGCAUGUGGUUUAAUUCGAUGCAACGCGAAGAACCUUACCUACUCUUGACAUCCAGAGAACUUAGCAGAGAUGGUUUGGUGCCUUCGGGAACUCUGAGACAGGUGCUGCAUGGCUGUCGUCAGCUCGUGUUGUGAAAUGUUGGGUUAAGUCCCGCAACGAGCGCAACCCUUAUCCUUUGUUGCCAGCGGUCCGGCCGGGAACUCAAAGGAGACUGCCAGUGAUAAACUGGAGGAAGGUGGGGAUGACGUCAAGUCAUCAUGGCCCUUACGAGUAGGGCUACACACGUGCUACAAUGGCGCAUACAAAGAGAAGCGACCUCGCGAGAGCAAGCGGACCUCAUAAAGUGCGUCGUAGUCCGGAUUGGAGUCUGCAACUCGACUCCAUGAAGUCGGAAUCGCUAGUAAUCGUGGAUCAGAAUGCCACGGUGAAUACGUUCCCGGGCCUUGUACACACCGCCCGUCACACCAUGGGAGUGGGUUGCAAAAGAAGUAGGUAGCUUAACCUUCGGGAGGGCGCUUACCACUUUGUGAUUCAUGACUGGGGUGAAGUCGUAACAAGGUAACC